GGCGGCACGCCUAACACAUGCAAGUCGAGCGGCAGCGAGAGUAGUAGCAAUACUACUUGUCGGCGAGCGGCGGACGGGUGAGGAACACGUAGGAAUCUGCCCAGAAGAGGGGGAUAACCAAGGGAAACUUUGGCUAAUACCGCAUAAUCUCGAGAGAGAAAAGCUGCCCGCAAGGGUGGCGCUUUUGGAGGAGCCUGCGUCCGAUUAGCUAGUUGGUAGGGUAAAGGCCUACCAAGGCGAUGAUCGGUAACUGGUCUGAGAGGACGACCAGUCACACUGGGACUGAGACACGGCCCAGACUCCUACGGGAGGCAGCAGUGGGGAAUAUUGGACAAUGGGGGCAACCCUGAUCCAGCGAUGCCGCGUGAGUGAAGAAGGCCUUCGGGUCGUAAAGCUCUUUAGGUUGGGAAGAAGAGUAUGAGGGU
rnacentral:rRNA from 1 species